rnacentral:rRNA from 1 species
UACAGAGGUCUCGAGCGUUGUUCGGAUUCAUUGGGCGUAAAGGGUGCGUAGGCGGCGUGGCAAGUCUGAUGUGAAAUCCCGGGGCUCAACCCCGGAACCGCAUUGGAUACUGCCAUGCUAGAGUACUGGAGAGGAGAUUGGAAUUUACGGUGUAGCAGUGAAAUGCGUAGAUAUCGUAAGGAAGACCAGUGGCGAAGGCGAAUCUCUGGACAGUUACUGACGCUGAGGCACGAAGGCCAGGGGAGCAAACGGG